CGGGAAUAACCCGUUGAAAGACGGACUAAUACCGCAUAAUACUAAAUUACUGCAUGGUAAUUUAUUUAAACAUUUAUGGCUUACAGAUGGGCAUGCGCAUGAUUAGCUAGUUGGAGAGGUAACGGCUCCCCAAGGCAACGAUCAUUAGGGGUUCUGAGAGGAAGGUCCCCCACACUGGUACUGAGACACGGACCAGACUCCUACGGGAGGCAGCAGUGAGGAAUAUUGGUCAAUGGACGAGAGUCUGAACCAGCCAAGUCGCGUGCAGGAAGAAUGUCCUUAAUGGAUUAGUAAACUGUCUUUUGCGAAGGGGAAAUAAAGUGCAUCACGUGUGAUUGUUUUGUAUGUACUCUGCGAAUAAGGAUCGGCUAACUCCGUGCCAGCAGCAGC
rnacentral:rRNA from 1 species